rnacentral:rRNA from 1 species
GAUGAACGCUGGCGGCGUGCCUAACACAUGCAAGUCGAACGGAGAACAUUAACGGAAGUUUUCGGAUGGAAGGAAAUGUUCUUAGUGGCGGACGGGUGAGUAACGCGUGGGCAACCUGCCCCAUACAGGGGGAUAGCGUCGGGAAACUGACGGUAAGACCGCAUAGGACCACAGAGUCGCAUGGCUUGGUGGUGAAAUGGGAAACCGGGUAUGGGAUGGGCCCGCGUCCGAUUAGCCAGUUGGCAGGGUAAGAGCCUACCAAAGCAACGAUCGGUAGCCGGACUGAGAGGUCGGACGGCCACAUUGGGACUGAGACACGGCCCAGACUCCUACGGGAGGCAGCAGUGGGGGAUAUUGCACAAUGGAGGAAACGCUGAUGCAGCGACGCCGCGUGAGUGAAGAAGUGCUCCGGCAUGUAAAGCUCCUUCAGCAGGGAAGAUGAUGACGGUACCUGAAUAAGAAGCCCCGGCUAACUACGUGCCAGCAGCCGCGGUAAUACGUAGGGGGCGAGCGUUAUCCGGAUUUACUGGGUGUAAAGGGAGCGCAGGCGGUCUGGCAAGUUGAGAGUGGAAGCAGGGGGCUCAACCCCCUGACUGCUCCCAAAACUGUUGGACUGGAGUAUGGGAGAGGCAGGCGGAAUUCCUAGUGUAGCGGUGAAAUGCUCAGAUAUUAGGAAGAACACCGGUGGCGAAGGCGGCCUGCUGGACCAAAACUGACGCUGAGGCUCGAGAGCGUGGGGAGCGAACAGG